AGCGUUGUUCGGAAUUACUGGGCGUAAAGCGUACGUAGGCGGCUUUGCAAGUUAGAGGUGAAAGCCUGGAGCUCAACUCCAGAACUGCCUUUAAGACUGCAUCGCUUGAAUCCAGGAGAGGUGAGUGGAAUUCCGAGUGUAG
rnacentral:rRNA from 1 species